CUUCACGUCCAGGCGAGCUAUUAGCCAAUAGAAAAGAGACGCAAAUGCAAGCAAGAGGAGUGGACAUCUCCGACCUGGCUAACAGCGUCACACACGCAGAGUUGGUGCAGAAAGAAACAAACCUUCUACACAGAUCGGCAAGAUGGAGAAGAAAAUCCCGGACUUUUCUGGAAAAUGGAAAAUGAAGUCUUCGGAAUAUUUUGAGGAGCUCUUGAAAGCGCUGGGUGUGAAUAUGUUUGUGAGGAAAAUUGCUGUGGCGGCAGCCUCAAGUCCUGCUGUGGAAAUCAGCCAGCAAGGAGAGAGUCUAUCCAUCAAAACAUCCACCAGCAUCCGCACUACCCACGUCUCUUUCACCGUGGGUCAAUCGUUUAACGAGACCACAGUGGAUGGACGCCCCUGCACGAGUUUUCCUACAUGGGAAUCAGAGAGCAAAAUCAGCUGUGAACAGACUUUACAGAAAGGCGAGGGUCCCAAGACAGCCUGGACUCGAGAGCUGACUAAUGACGGAGGGCUGAUACUGACGAUGACUGCAGGGGAUGUUGUCUGCACCAGAGUUUAUGAAAGGGAAUAAGGAAAUCGUCAGGCAAUAUUGUCCCUUUUAUGUGGUUCAUAUAUCUACUCACCUUGCGCCCACAAUUUUGGGCCAUCUGAAACAAUCAUGGAUCAUAAAAGAGAGUUGCAGGAGUCGACUGACAGACGUAACUGAAAGGAAGGCGAUAAGCAAGACCAAGGGGACAAAGCCAGGUCCCACCCAUUCCAGGCUUCCUAAACUCAAUGGCUGCUUUGAACGCUAAUUGGACGGAAGUCGUUGGACACCAUCAUGUCAUUAGGCGCUAUACAGGAAAUGAAACAUGACACACCAUUUCAAGGUGUCUGUGUGUGUGUCCAUUCAUCCAGACGAAUAUUUGUGAGGUUGAACGAGAGCUAUAGCUCAGUUGGCGUCGAGAUAAAACGCUGGUUUUGCUAUACCGGAAAGAAUGUUGGCUGUAUCACCCUCCACUGGUCACAACUUGGUGAGCCAUGGCAAGCUAUCGAAGUUGACCUCUUGAGGCUUAAGUUUUCAAAACAUCGCUCAUUGUUGGCAGUCAACUAGUCAUAGAUUCUGUGGGCUCCCCCCCCCCCCUUGUUUUGUCAAAUCCGAGCGCCAAAGCCAUGUGUUAUCGGGUAUAUUUUCUGGCACGGAAAAUGAGUACUUGGACGAUGAUCCAAGCGUGCAAUCCGCUAUAUUGGAUCUGUUGUCCUUGGUGACUGACCUAAAUAUGCAAGGGUGGGGUCUUCUCUCCAAAUUGUUUGCACAUUGCUUGGAAAGGCCUUGGAAGAUGAAGAAUGUUGCAAAGUAAAGCAUUCAAGUGUGUGCCUGAAUCUCACUCACGACUGAGACCCCCCCCCCCCCAUGUGACUUGGGGGCAUGGAUUACAACGAUAACCGCUGGUUGAAUUAAAGACGUUGCAGUUUACGACACACACACACACACACCUGCAAAUUGUGCAAACCAUGACAAAAGCUGGAGUAAAAAUUCUGCACGUUU